UGCCUUACACAUGCAAGUCGAGCGGCAGCGCGGGGGCAACCCUGGCGGCGAGCGGCGAACGGGUGAGUAAUGCAUCGGAACGUGUCCUCUAGUGGGGGAUAACCAGUCGAAAGACUGGCUAAUACCGCAUGAGAUCGAGAGAUGAAAGCAAGGGACCGCAAGGCCUUGCGCGAGAGGAGCGGCCGAUGCCGGAUUAGCUAGUUGGUGGGGUAACGGCCUACCAAGGCGACGAUCCGUAGCUGGUCUGAGAGGACGACCAGCCACACUGGGACUGAGACACGGCCCAGACUCCUACGGGAGGCAGCAGUGGGGAAUUUUGGACAAUGGGGGCAACCCUGAUCCAGCCAUGCCGCGUGUGUGAAGAAGGCCUUCGGGUUGUAAAGCACUUUCGGACGGAACGAAAUCGCGCGGGUUAAUAGUCCGCGUGGAUGACGGUACCGUAAGAAGAAGCACCGGCUAACUACGUGCCAGCAGCCGCGGUAAUACGUAGGGUGCGAGCGUUAAUCGGAAUUACUGGGCGUAAAGUGUGCGCAGGCGGCCGCGCAAGUCGAGUGUGAAAUCCCCGAGCUUAACUUGGGAAUUGCGCUCGAAACUACGUGGCUGGAGUGUGGCAGAGGAAGGUGGAAUUCCACGUGUAGCGGUGAAAUGCGUAGAGAUGUGGAGGAACACCGAUGGCGAAGGCAGCCUUCUGGGCCAACACUGACGCUCAUGC
rnacentral:rRNA from 1 species